AGCCCUGAAGCACGAAGCCCAAAAAAUAAGGACGCCGGUUGGUAAGUUUUUUUUUUUUUUUUACCCCUUCCAGUUUCUUCUUCCUCCCCUCAUCCCUGACUUUCUCUACAUCAUUCCCAGAUUCCCUCCCCCGUUUUUCCCUCCCUGAUCUCACCACUAUCACAUCUCGGCAGUUUCAUUUUAUUUCUUCCUCACAUUUUUUUUCCCCUCUCGACAGACCCUCGCACUUCCUUUCUCUCCUACAGAUUUCGUGUGUUGCAGUUCGUGGGUUUCUUGAGUCUCAAUGACGCCGGCGACCUCUCGCCGGACUCUUGUGGAUGACGAUCACUGCGCCGUGGCACAAAUUAGACCAGAUUAGAUAAGGUGAUUUUCUCACAAUCGGAAAUUUCAGAUUUGUCGCCUCGCUUAGUAUUACCAUCGUGCUUGGUGGAAAGAGACAUUUGUUUUUCAUCCUUGUUUGAAGGGCUACAAGAUGAUUUAGGCGAUACGCUUGGUGAUCAAGUUCGGCAAGAUUGGCUGGUUGUGGGAAGUUGAGUGAGUACCUAAGGGUAUUUUCAUUAUUUGAGAGUUAUCUUAUGAAUAGUUGGAUUUUAGUAUGAGAAAUUUGAUGAAUAGAGACUUUCGAAUUUCUGGUUUUUAUGUUUUGAUUAAUUAAGGAAUACCUUGUAGAGGAAUUUAUGUGGUUGAACUCAAUGGAUAAGUUUAUGUUU